ACUCUAAGCGGUGGAUCACUCGGCUCAUGGGUCGAUGAAGAACGCAGCAAACUGUGCGUCAUCGUGUGAACUGCAGGACACAUGAACAUCGACAUUUUGAACGCAUAUCGCAGUCCAUGCUGUUAUGUACUUUAAUUAAUUUUAUAGUGCUGCUUGGACUACAUAUGGUUGAGGGUUGUAAGACUAUGCUAAUUAAGUUGCUUAUAAAUUUUUAUAAGCAUAUGGUAUAUUAUUGGAUAAAUAUAAUAAUUUUUAUUCAUAAUAUUAAAAAAUAAAUGAAAAACAUUAUCUCACAUUUGAAUGUGAAAAACGAAGAGAAAUAUUUUCUUUUUCAAUCAAAUAAUACUGAGAAAUGUCUAGCAUAAAAAAUUGAAAUAUUUUUCAUCUAGAAUUGUCUCUUAUUAAUGAUUCGGAAAUAGAAAAAUCUUGGUUAUGUUAUUAUUCUUCGUUGGUUCGUUAAAAAUGGAUAAAUAAAAACUUUGCAUACAAGAAUUAAUAAAAAUGUUAUAACGAAUUUAAUUAAAUGUUUUAUCAUUAUAUAUAAAGAAUUUAUGGCAAGAUAAAGUUAUAUACAACCUCAACUCAUAUGGGACUACCCCCUGAAUUUAAGCAUAUUAAUUAGGGGAGGAAAAGAAACUAACAAGGAUUUUCUUAGUAGCGGCGAGCGAAAAGAAAACAGUUCAGCACUAAGUCACUUUGUCUAUAUGGCAAAUGUGAGAUGCAGUGUAUGGAGCGUCAAUAUUCUAGUAUGAGAAAUUAACGAUUUAAGUCCUUCUUAAAUGAGGCCAUUUACCCAUAGAGGGUGCCAGGCCCGUAUAACGUUAAUGAUUACUAGAUGAUGUUUCCAAAGAGUCGUGUUGCUUGAUAGUGCAGCACUAAGUGGGUGGUAAACUCCAUCUAAAACUAAAUAUAACCAUGAGACCGAUAGUAAACAAGUACCGUGAGGGAAAGUUGAAAAGAACUCUGAAUAGAGAGUUAAACAGUACGUGAAACUGCUUAGAGGUUAAGCCCGAUGAACCUGAAUAUCCGUUAUGGAAAAUUCAUCAUUAAAAUUGUAAUAUUUAAAUAAUAUUAUGAGAAUAGUGUGCAUUUUUUCCAUAUAAGGACAUUGUAAUCUAUUAGCAUAUACCAAAUUUAUCAUAAAAUAUAACUUAUAGUUUAUUCCAAUUAAAUUGCUUGCAUUUUAACACAGAAUAAAUGUUAUUAAUUUGAUAAAGUGCUGAUAGAUUUAUAUGAUUACAGUGCGUUAAUUUUUCGGAAUUAUAUAAUGGCAUAAUUAUCAUUGAUUUUUGUGUUUAUUAUAUGCACUUGUAUGAUUAACAAUGCGAAAGAUUCAGGAUACCUUCGGGACCCGUCUUGAAACACGGACCAAGGAGUCUAACAUAUGUGCAAGUUAUUGGGAUAUAAACCUAAUAGCGUAAUUAACUUGACUAAUAAUGGGAUUAGUUUUUUAGCUAUUUAUAGCUAAUUAACACAAUCCCGGGGCGUUCUAUAUAGUUAUGUAUAAUGUAUAUUUAUAUUAUUUAUGCCUCUAACUGGAACGUACCUUGAGCAUAUAUGCUGUGACCCGAAAGAUGGUGAACUAUACUUGAUCAGGUUGAAGUCAGGGGAAACCCUGAUGGAAGACCGAAACAGUUCUGACGUGCAAAUCGAUUGUCAGAAUUGAGUAUAGGGGCGAAAGACCAAUCGAACCAUCUAGUAGCUGGUUCCUUCCGAAGUUUCCCUCAGGAUAGCUGGUGCAUUUUAAUAUUAUAUAAAAUAAUCUUAUCUGGUAAAGCGAAUGAUUAGAGGCCUUAGGGUCGAAACGAUCUUAACCUAUUCUCAAACUUUAAAUGGGUAAGAACCUUAACUUUCUUGAUAUGAAGUUCAAGGUUAUGAUAUAAUGUGCCCAGUGGGCCACUUUUGGUAAGCAGAACUGGCGCUGUGGGAUGAACCAAACGUAAUGUUACGGUGCCCAAAUUAACAACUCAUGCAGAUACCAUGAAAGGCGUUGGUUGCUUAAAACAGCAGAACGGUGAUCAUGGAAGUCGAAAUCCGCUAAGGAGUGUGUAACAACUCACCUGCCGAAGCAACUAGCCCUUAAAAUGGAUGGCGCUUAAGUUGUAUACCUAUACAUUACCGCUAAAGUAGAUGAUUUAUAUUACUUGUGAUAUAAAUUUUGAAACUUUAGUGAGUAGGAAGGUACAUGGUAUGCGUAGAAGUGUUUGGCGUAAGCCUGCAUGGAGCUGCCAUUGGUACAGAUCUUGGUGGUAGUAGCAAAUAAUCGAAUGAGACCUUGGAGGACUGAAGUGGAGAAGGGUUUCGUGUGAACAGUGGUUGAUCACGAGUUAGUCGGUCCUAAGUUCAAGGCGAAAGCCGAAAAUUUUCAAGUAAAACAAAAAUGCCUAACUAUAUAAACAAAGCGAAUUAUAAUACACUUGAAUAAUUUUGAACGAAAGGGAAUACGGUUCCAAUUCCGUAACCUGUUGAGUAUCCGUUUGUUAUUAAAAAUGGGCCUCGUGCUCAUCCUGGCAACAGGAACGACCAUAAAGAAGCCGUCGAGAGAUAUCGGAAGAGUUUUCUUUUCUGUUUUAUAGCCGUACUACCAUGGAAGUCUUUCGCAGAGAGAUAUGGUAGAUGGGCUAGAAGAGCAUGACAUAUACUGUUGUGUCGAUAUUUUCUCCUCGGACCUUGAAAAUUUAUGGUGGGGACACGCAAACUUCUCAACAGGCCGUACCAAUAUCCGCAGCUGGUCUCCAAGGUGAAGAGUCUCUAGUCGAUAGAAUAAUGUAGGUAAGGGAAGUCGGCAAAUUAGAUCCGUAACUUCGGGAUAAGGAUUGGCUCUGAAGAUUGAGAUAGUCGUCGGGCUUGAUUGGGAAACAAUAACAUGGUUUAUGUGCUCGUUCUGGGUAAAUAGAGUUUCUAGCAUUUAUGUUAGUUACUUGUUCCCCGGAUAGUUUAGUUACGUAGCCAAUUGUGGAACUUUCUUGCUAAAAUUUUUAAGAAUACUAUUUGGGUUAAACCAAUUAGUUCUUAUUAAUUAUAACGAUUAUCAAUUAACAAUCAAUUCAGAACUGGCACGGACUUGGGGAAUCCGACUGUCUAAUUAAAACAAAGCAUUGUGAUGGCCCUAGCGGGUGUUGACACAAUGUGAUUUCUGCCCAGUGCUCUGAAUGUCAAAGUGAAGAAAUUCAAGUAAGCGCGGGUCAACGGCGGGAGUAACUAUGACUCUCUUAAGGUAGCCAAAUGCCUCGUCAUCUAAUUAGUGACGCGCAUGAAUGGAUUAACGACGGACGUGUUUUCGUUGCGCUCGUGGACAUAGUGCGAAGAACUUUGUUUUCCGUAUUUGGAAGUAUACGAAUAAAUAAUUUAGUGUUCCGUGGAAGUGGUGCGCAAAUUUUCGCGAAUUAAAAACAAGCGGUUUGGAAGUAAUUGACAAUAAAUUAUUGGAAAUUUUCCACUCCGCACGUGUUGAGCGGCGAGCUUGCGGGUGAGCUUUUCGAACAGCUGAGAGAAGCUUAUUGGUGGUAGUCACCGCUAAGGAUUGUGUCUUGGGACAGCUUAGUGCACUCUACCAAUAGGUGGAGCUAUCACCAUAGCAACUAGCCCGUGUCAGCGAGCAUACGAUUGCUGGACUCGUCAAAAGGAGGAGCCACCAUCGGAGCAACGCCGAUGGAGAGCGACAGCAGUGUGAGUGCCUUGAGCGGAAGCAGUGCCUCAAAGGUGU
rnacentral:rRNA from 1 species